GGGAAAGGAGGGCCAAGUAGAGCCUCCACGACCCUCGGCUUCCUCCUCACCAGCUCCCCCUCCCUCCAAGUCCAGUAAGAAGUUGGGCCAAGCUGGAAGGGAUUGACCGGGUUGCUUGUCUGGAGAUGGAGCCACUACAGGCGGGCCUGGGCGCCUGGAGUCGGGCAUGAAAGAAAAUAGCGCCUCAUCGCUCUUAUCUAAGCCCAGAGGUAGACUUCGCUUGAAAAGAUCGAGAAUGGAGGAGGGGAUCGGCACUCACUUGCAGACAUCAACAGUUUCCAGAAAAUUCGGUUCAAUUCCUUCACCACGGACCCACCAACCAAGGAGCUGGCAAAACCCACUAACCAACCAGGAGAACACAGACCCGGUUUGUCUUUUGACAACCGAGUGGAACUGACGGGGCCGGCGCCUGCCCUGCGGGUCCCCUCCCUUGGCUGAGAAGAAAACCAAAUAAACCUUGAACAGCCUUGGCUUCG
rnacentral:lncRNA from 1 species